AACGCGAAGAACCUUACCAAAUCUUGACAUCGAUAGAAUCUGCUGGAAGCAGCGGAGUGCCCUUCGGGGAACUUGAAGACAGGUGGUGCAUGGUUGUCGUCAGCUCGUGUCGUGAGAUGUUGGGUUAAGUCCCGCAACGAGCGCAACCCCUACUGUAUGUUACUAACAGGUUAAGCUGAGGACUCAUAUGGGACUGCCGGUGUAAGCCGGAGGAAGGUGGGGAUGACGUCAAAUCAUCAUGCCCCUUAUGAUUUGGGCUACACACGUGCUACAAUGGGCAGUACAGAGGGAAGCUAAGCCGUGAGGUGGAGCGGAACCCAAAAAACUGCUCCCAGUUCGGAUUAUAGUCUGCAACUCGACUAUAUGAAGUUGGAAUCGCUAGUAAUCGCAGGUCAGCAUACUGCGGUGAAUACGUUCCCGGGCCUUGUACACACCG
rnacentral:rRNA from 1 species